rnacentral:rRNA from 1 species
AGUGAACGCUGGCGGUAGGCCUAACACAUGCAAGUCGAACGGCAGCACAGGAGAGCUUGCUCUCUGGGUGGCGAGUGGCGGACGGGUGAGGAAUACAUCGGAAUCUACCUUUUCGUGGGGGAUAACGUUGGGAAACUUACGCUAAUACCGCAUACGAGCUUCGGGUGAAAGCAGGGGACCGUCGGGCCUUGCGCGGCUAGAUGAGCCGAUGUCGGAUUAGCUAGUUGGGGGGGUAAAGGCCCACCAAGGCGACGAUCCGUAGCUGGUCUGAGAGGAUGAUCAGCCACACUGGAACUGAGACACGGUCCAGACUCCUACGGGAGGCAGCAGUGGGGAAUAUUGGACAAUGGGCGCGAGCCUGAUCCAGCCAUACCGCGUGGGUGAAGAAGGCCUUCGGGUUGUAAAGCCCUUUUGUUGGGAAAGAAAAGCAGCCAGCUAAUACCUGGUUGUUCUGACGGUACCCAAAGAAUAAGCACCGGCUAACUUCGUGCCAGCAGCCGCCGUAA